GGCUCGGCCGCGUCCCAUCGUGGUAAUGGCGGACGGGCUGGGUAGCACAAACGGGCUGCGGCAGGAACCUCGGAGCGGCGGUCAGAACGGCAGGGCCCGCUCACCCGGGACAGCAAGCGAGAGUACCGAUCGUUAUGGUUCCGAAGCGACUGAUUGGACGAAAUUCCACGAGGGAAGGAAACAAAAGGAAAAAUCCUAAAUCCCGACAGCAGUGAAGACAAAGAGCUGUGAAGAGCAAAGAACCAGGAAGGAAAUCAGAAUCAGAAAACAUGCUACUAAUGUUAAGGGUUCCAUUUAGACCAGAAAUGAACUUUUUGAGUGGAAUUUCCUGAUCUCGCAUAUGAGCUGAAAAGUGUAAGGUAGCAGUACAUCAAAUACACUCUGUAGGCGUUUUAGGGCAUUUGUGGUGUGGGGGCCGCAAACUAAACCAGUAUUAAAUAACCCACCAGAACUAUGUGUGGUCUGGAUGGUGGGUCCUCAGCACUGCUUCACCCUAAAAAUCGGGCCACUGAUCCACUACACUACUUGUGAACACAACCAUUUAUAACUUCCCUGUUACUGUAAAAAGCUACCAGCAGAUGGGACUACAAAAAACCCCAAAUAUUCCUUGUCCAUGUUAGAUUCAGCAUUGCUUGGCAUUUUUUCAUUUCUGGUGUACUGUUUUAGAGCCCGAGAUUGAGGGAAUGUAAAAUAAAUUCUUGGACUUCAAACAAAUAAAAACGACAUAAAAGUAA